UAGAGUUUGAUCAUGGCUCAGGAUGAACGCUAGCGACAGGCUUAACACAUGCAAGUCGAGGGGCAGCGGGGAGGUAGCAAUACUUCCGCCGGCGACCGGCGCACGGGUGAGUAACACGUAUGCAACCUGCCUGCCACAGCCGGAUAAUCGGGAGAAAUUCCGUCUAAUACGGCAUAAUGCAUCGACGGGACAUCCUGUUGGUGCCAAAGGUUAAUUCCGGUGGCGGAUGGGCAUGCGUCGCAUUAGUUAGUUGGCGGUGUAACGGACCACCAAGACGACGAUGCGUAGGGGUUCUGAGAGGAAGGUCCCCCACACUGGUACUGAGACACGGACCAGACUCCUACGGGAGGCAGCAGUGAGGAAUAUUGGUCAAUGGGCGCGAGCCUGAACCAGCCAAGUCGCGUGAGGGAAGACGGUCCUAUGGAUUGUAAACCUCUUUAGGCGGGGAGCAAUGCCGGGCACGCGUGCCCGGAGGGAGAGUACCCGCAGAAUAAGCAUCGGCUAACUCCGUGCCAGCAGCCGCGGUAAUACGGUGGAUGCGAGCGUUAUCCGGAUUUAUUGGGUUUAAAGGGUGCGUAGGCGGAUUUUUAAGUCAGCGGUAAAAUGUCCGGGCUCAACCCGGGCCGGCCGUUGAAACUGGGGAUCUUGAGUGGGCGAGAAGUAUGCGGAAUGCGUGGUGUAGCGGUGAAAUGCAUAGAUAUCACGCAGAACUCCGAUUGCGAAGGCAGCAUACCGGCGCCCGACUGACGCUGAGGCACGAAAGCGUGGGGAUCGAACAGGAUUAGAUACCCUGGUAGUCCACGCAGUAAACGAUGAAUGCUAACUGUCCGGUGCGAGUGAGCGCUGGGCGGUACAGCGAAAGCGUUAAGCAUUCCACCUGGGGAGUACGCCGGCAACGGUGAAACUCAAAGGAAUUGACGGGGGCCCGC
rnacentral:rRNA from 1 species